AUUGCCAUCCAUCUCUUCAACUGUUUAAUUUACAUGAAUAUAACUUAUCCGACACACGUACGUGCAACUCUCCAGCCAGAUUGGACAGAUGUGACAGCUACAAGCCCAAAUCCUAUUUAUUUUAAUUUCGCAAUAUAAAAGACCACACAUAACACACGCCGUAUGUCGUGCCACACAUAAAAAUGCAUUAAAGCGAAACGCUGUGCACUUUUACUGUGUUGCUAACUUGGACAGAGUGCGAAUUACAUUAUUCUGCACAUUCAUAGAUUUGUUUGACCAGCACCCCCAUUAUUAUAACACAAUGAAAUUUGAUUCAUUGAGGUUCUUUAAGCCUUCGAGGCUUGGAAAUGAUAUGGAUCGAAUCACAACAGAAUGAGUUAAUGAAUUCAAUAUCGUCGCUACGAAAGUUUAACCCAGCCCAAAUUGACUACCUGGAAUCAAAACUGAGGAUGAAGCAUGAUGGUGGAAUAUGGCACACGCCCUGCCAAAUCCACCACAAACUAACAUCCUACAAUUUAAUGACUGCCUCACUCAGGCAUACAUUUUAAAUUGUAUGAAUAAACAUAUCCUAGAUUUGACAUAAUCCAAUAAUAAAUGCAAUAAGCGAGAUUUUAAAUAGUUUCGAGUUAAGUACUAUUUUUAUUGGGAUUUGUUUUAAUAAAGUAACUGCGAAUC